UUCUACUUAGAUCAUGACUGUGCACCGACGCUCCCCAUCCAACCUGCUGGACGUUGAGAGGUGCUUCAAAGACGAAUGGACAAAACUGCCCAAAGAUAGGUGCACCAAGCUUGUGGCAUCAUAUUCAAGAAGACCUGAGGCUGUAAUUGCUGCCAAA